CCUACGGGAGGCAGCAGUAGGGAAUCUUUCACAAUGGGCGAAAGCCUGAUGGAGCAACGCCGCGUGCAGGAUGAAGGCCUUCGGGUUGUAAACUUCUUUUAUAAGCGAGCAAUAUGAUGGUAACUUAUGAAUCCGGAUCGGCUAACUACGUGCCAGCAGCCGCGGUCAUACGUAGGACCCGCGCAGUAUCCGGAGUGACUUGGUGUAAAGAGUUGCGUAGGUGGCAUAGUAAGUAGCUAGUGAAAUCUGGUGGCUCAACCAUUCAGACGAUUAGCUAAACUGCUAAGCUCGAGACCGUUAGGGGUAACUGGAAUUACUAGUGUAGGAGUGAAAUGCGUAGAGAUUAGAAGGAACACCGAUAGCGUAGGCAGGUUACUGGGACGGGUCUGACACUAAGGCACGAAAGCGUAGGGAGCAAACGGGAUUAGAUACCCCGGUAGUC
rnacentral:rRNA from 1 species